UGGAGACUUGAGUUUUACUGCUCUUACAUACUGAGGUUAAAAGUCUCGGACAAAACACAAUAGCAACUUUGUCAUCUGCUCCAGUCCUCCAAACCGCGGUGGUGAUUGGAAGAUGAAGUGGAGAACUGCGUAAGUGCGGAGCCAAUUGGUCACUUUUGUAGAUGAACCCAAUAGUUUAAUUAGCAUUUUUGGUUCUUUGUCUUGCAAUAUGUUGCUUCUCUGAUUCUUGUGAUCCCAUCCACUCUUUUCAAUUGCCAUAUGUCUGCAACCCCUUGUUUAACUAUGCCACCUUUUGUUCUUGAGAUUGUCUAAACAACAGGAACAUUUGGCCUUAUAAUGCUUGUCUACUGAUAUGUGUGUAUAAUUUUGUGACUUACGGAGCACUUGAAGAAAGCAAAUGACCAAGUAAAGAUGAGGGAGGGUUGCAGGACUUGACACAAUGAUUGCUGCAAUUCAAGAGGAUUGCUCUGAUGACUUGACAUAAGUAGGAAGUACUGGUCAUUUCUGAUUCCUGAUGUCCCUCUAAAGAAGUAAAGAUGCAACGCCUCAUUCAAGGUUUCUGGUGACCUGCAGGGCUACUAUUGGCAGCUUUUGGAACUGCAGGGAUCUUAAAGAAGCUAAAGUGGGCAUGAUGGAACUGAUGGGGUCACAGAUACAGAUGUAGAAAGUUAUCAUGAAAUGAGAAGAACAAUCAUGACAAUUGAAGGCAGUUUGUAACAUUAGAGCAUCUCUUAUUUCUGCUUCACAUUGGUCCAGCCAUAUGUGGAUAGUGUACUAUGUAGACUUGUAGUAAACAUGUAAUCACAUUUGUACAGAUAGUGGCUUUGUAAAUGUGGAACUCAUAAUGCAUAUUUGAAAUUUCUUUGUAC